rnacentral:rRNA from 1 species
AGGGUUCGAUUAUGGCUCAGAACGUACGCUGGCGGCACGCCUAACACAUGCAAGUCGAACGAAGUAGCAAUACUUAGUGGCAGACGGGUGAGUAACAUGUGGGUAUCUACCCUUUGGCCUGGAAUAACACGAGGAAACUUGUGCUAAUACCGGAUAAGUCUUUACAGAGAAAGCUUUAUGCACCAUUGGAUGAGCCCGCACUUGAUUAGUUUGUUGGUAGGGUAAUGGCCUACCAAGACUGUGAUCAAUAGCUGAUUUGAGAGGAUGAUCAGCCACAUUGGGACUGAGACACGGCCCAAACUCCUACGGGAGGCAGCAGUGGGGAAUCUUGCACAAUGGAGGAAACUCUGAUGCAGCGAUGCCGCGUGAGUGAAGAAGGCCUUUGGGUUGUAAAGCUCUUUCGUCGGGGAAGAAAAUGACUGUACCCGAAUAAGAAGGUCCGGCUAACUUCGUGCCAGCAGCCGCGGUAAUAC